rnacentral:lncRNA from 1 species
GGUCUUUGGCCUGAAAAAAUGUGGCAAGAUGGAGCUGCUAUCAAACAAGAUGAGUAAGACCGGGGAGGCAGUAAAUGAAGGGUGAGCCUCAUGAUACUGCAAUAUUUGGUUUAUUAAAUAUUUUAAUUCCUGUUUGAGUCUAUUCAUACUUUUUAAUUGCUGAUAAUUUACAAAUUAUUAGAAUAAAUACAUUUAUUCAUUCUCAAAAUAUUUUUAAAAUUCUACAUCUAAAGU